rnacentral:lncRNA from 1 species
AGUCGCGCACAAGUGUUAUCUCUGUACCGGGCGAUGCUGAGAGAGAGCAAGCGUUUCAGCGCCUACAAUUACAGCAGUCCUUUCUUUCCCUGGCCAUGCUCACAAAGCUGGGACCUACAUUGGAUACUACUGCUGCGGGUUUACAAUCCUCAGUUGACCUGUCUGCGGGGAGACGGAAGCCCCUGAGUACUUUGCCCAGGAUGUCUUGUCUUUGGAACUCCACUCCUCCCCAGCUUGGCAAAACCCUUGGUGUGCUCUUCUUUUAAAACAGGAUGGAGUCUCACUCUGUCGCCCAGGCUGGAGUGCAGUGGUGCUGUUUCAGCUCACCACAACCUCUGCCUCCUGGGUUCAAGCAAUUCUCCUGCCUCAGCCUCCCGAGUAGCUGGGAUUACAGGCGCCCGUCACCAUGCCCGGCUAAUUUUUAUAUUUUUAAUAGAGACGGGGUUUCAC